GUACAACAAAAUUAUUGCG
ensembl:ncRNA F39E9.26 ncRNA